GACCGCUACAGUGGCCUAAAGGUUGGAGCAUCCACCUUGAAUGCGGAAGGUCGCGGGUUCGAUCCACGGCCGAGUCA